CUUGUUACCUCUUUGCUGGCCAGAAGGGAAAGAGACCCUCUGUGGCUUUCUUGUCUUUAACAUGUGUCUUCACAGAGGCAUGUACACUUUCCUUAGUGGUUAAACAGACUGUCAAUUCUCAAAGCUAAUUACUGAUUGGUUUUUUUGUCAGACACCAACAAAAUUGCUAGCAGCUUCUCUAUAGAACAUCACUUCCAUGAUGCAAAACCCCCAUAACAGCACAGAGCACAGAGCUCCUUUUUCCAUAUGUAGUAGUCAUGAGCCGUAGGCCUCAAAACCCAUCCUUGGGAGAUCUCUGGGCCCUGUCCAAAGUGUGUCCAAAUGAAAAUAUUCAACUCAUAGUCUAAGAAAAUCAGCAGAGGACAGUGCCAUCCUGACGUGCCUGUCCUGGCUACUUUUGUCUGGGAGCAAUCCAUGGGUAUACAGAAUUUUGGAGGCCAAAUUCUAAUUUUGGUCAUGGCCCCUGGAUAUGAAAGCCAGUUCUUUUCCACAGGAAUGAAGGAACAGAGCCCCAGUGUUUCAGGGGCAGAUGAGAGGUAACCACCAGAGGCCAAGGCCAGCCAGAGGUGCCAGGUUUUAUUCGGAGAGAUACCCCUCCAGGAGCUGAUGAGAGGCAGCCCUUGACAUCCCAAGAUCAGCCAGACCUGUCAGGUGGCCCCUGGGAGGCCAAGCCAACCAGACCUGUUCCAUGUUCCCUGGGUUCCAUCAGGCCCCACAGAGUCAUAAUGGUCUCUGGGGUCCAUGAAGCCCCGCUGUGUCACCAUGGCCCCUUGGUUCCAUGGGCUCCAGUGGUGCCACAAUGAACCCCUUGCUUUCAUGAGGUCCCCACAGUGUCCCAGGGAUCUCCAUGGCAAGGAAAGAACCAAGCCCCAGUGAUGCAGGGACAGUCACCAGAGGCCAAGGCCAGCCAGACUUGACAGUACUGGCAGAUUUUGCCUGGGAGCAAUUCUUGGAUAUGCAGACUUUUAGAGGUGGAAUCCCAAUUUCACGCAUGGACACCAGAGGAGAAGGAUGGUUCUGUUCCAUAGGAAGGAAAGCACGGAGCACCGGGGUUUGACAGGCAGAUGAAAGGCAGCCAUCAGAGGCCUAGGACAGACAGACCUCUCUGUCCUGGUGGCUUUUGUCUGACAGCAACCCUUGGAUAUAGGGGAUUUUGGAGGUGGAAUCCCAAUUUUAGCCAUUUCUGCAUAGAUAAGAAGGACAGUUCUUUUCCAUAGGAAGGAAAGCACAAAACCCAAGGGUUUCAAAGGCAGAAGAGGAGAGAGGUGGCUCCUGGGUGGCCAAGACAGCCAGACCUGUUUGUCCUGGCAGCUUUCAUCAUGGAGGAAUCCUUUGAUAUAUGGAAUUUGGUAGGAAGAAUCUCAGUUUUGUCCACGGGCAUCUUGAGAAGAAGGAUGGUUCUUUUCCAUUGGAAGGAAAGCCCAACACACAGUGUUUGGAAAGCAGAUGAGAUGCAGCCUCCAAGAGGCCAAGGGCAGCCAGACCUGUCUGUCCUGGCAUCUUUCAUUGGGGGGAAAUCCUUGGAUGUAUUGUGUUCUUGAGAUGGAAUCCCAGAUUUGACCAUGGGACCCUGGUCAAGAUGGAUGGGUUUUUUUGUAUUGGAAAGAAAAGUGCAAAGUCCAGGUGUUCUGGAAGAUGAUGAGAGUUGGCCACCAUUAAGACAAGCCAGCCAAACCUCUCUCUGCUGGCACCUUUUGUCUAGGGGCUUUCCUUGGUCACAGGGCAUUUUGGAGGUGGAAUGUCAAUUUUGGCCAUGGGCACCUGGACAGCAAGAAGAGUUCUUUUCAUUAGGAAGGAAAGCACAGAGCCUCAGUGUUUCAGAGGCAGAUGAGUACCAGCCCUCAGGAAGCCAAGGCUAGCCAGACUUGUCACUCCUGGCAGCUUUUGUCUGGGAGUUAUCUUUGGAUAUAGGGAAUGCUGGAGACAGAUGCCCAAUUUUAGUCAUGGGUGCCUAGUCCAGAUGGAUGUUUUUUUUCCCAUAAGAAAGAAAAGCACAUGGUCCCAGUGUUUCAAAGGAAGAUGAGAGGUGGUUCCUGGAUGGCCAAGGCAGCCAGAGCUGUCACUCCUGGCAGAUUUCAUCUGGAAACAACCUUUGCAUAUAAGGAAAUUUGGAGGAGGAAUCCCAAUUUUGACAUGGGCCCCUGGAGGACAAGGACAGUUCUCUCCCAUAGGAAGGAAAGCCCAGAGCCCCAGUGCUUCAAGGGCAGAUGAGAAGCAGCCCUCGACACGCCAAGGGCAGACAUCUGCUGAUAACAGGCUAUUGAAUGUCACUGCAUGACUGAUAAGAACUACAGCAUCCCCUUGGGAGAUGCUCCGUCCAGAGGGGAGAGCCAAGCAUUCCUACCAGAUAUAAUCUUGAGUUUCUGGAACACUAGCAUGGCUUUCUCCACUGGAUUUCCCAGAGGAACAGCAGCUGCCUCUUCCACUGGAUUUUCAGAGGAAGACUACACCUUUCUACAGGAUCCCUGCUCCAACAGAACCGCACCUGACACUCCAGGAGGACUGCAGCCACCAUUCCAAUUGGACUGCUACCAACACCCUGUGCAACAGGGUGUCAGGUAGUGUUCUGAUUCUGUCAGUGUUGUCUUGCUUUACUGCAUUGUUUAUUUUAUCUUUUUAUUUGUUUCCCUAAUAAAGAACUGCUAUUCCUGCUCCCAUA